ACCGGGUUGGUGUAGCGGUUAACAUUACUGUCUCUCACACAGUCGCCCCUGGUUCGAAUCCGGGACUCGGUG
rnacentral:tRNA from 1 species